GGGCUUGUGGUUUAGUGGUAUAAUACUCCCUUAGCAAGUUCUGAUAACUUGGGAGUGGUCCGGGGUUCGAUUCCCCGCGAGUCCA